GCAUAUCCAAUAAGCGGAGGAAAAGAAACCAACCGGGAUUGCCUCAGUAACGGCGAGUGAAGCGGCAAGAGCUCAAAUUUGAAAUCUGGCCCCUCCCCGGGGUCCGAGUUGUAAUUUGGAGAGGAUGCUUCGGGUUCGGUCCCGGUCCAAGUGCCCUGGGACGGGCCGUCGGAGAGGGUGAGAAUCCCGUCUGUGACCGGUGACUGGGCCCGGGUGAAGCUCCCUCGACGAGUCGAGUUGUUUGGGAAUGCAGCUCUAAAUGGGUGGUAAAUUUCAUCUAAAGCUAAAUAUGGGCCGGAGACCGAUAGCGCACAAGUAGAGUGAUCGAAAGAUGAAAAGCACUUUGGAAAGAGAGUCAAACAGCACGUGAAAUUGUUGAAAGGGAAGCGCUUGCGACCAGACUCGCCCGGGGAGGUUCAGCCGGCACUUGUGCCGGUGCACUCCUAACCGGGCGGGCCAGCGUCGGUUUGGAUGGCCUGUCAAAGGCCGCCGGAAGGUAGCGCCCUUCGGGGCGUCUUAUAGCCGGGGGUGCCAUGCGGCCUGUCUGGACCGAGGAACGCGCUUUCGGGCUCGGACGCUGGCGUAAUGGUCGUAAGCGGCCCGUCUUGAACACCGGACC
rnacentral:rRNA from 1 species